rnacentral:rRNA from 1 species
GACGAACGCUGGCGGCGUGCCUAAUACAUGCAAGUAGAACGCUGAAGAGAGGAGCUUGCUCUUCUUGGAUGAGUUGCGAACGGGUGAGUAACGCGUAGGUAACCUGCCUGGUAGCGGGGGAUAACUAUUGGAAACGAUAGCUAAUACCGCAUAAAAUGGAUUAUCGCAUGAUAAUCCAUUGAAAGGUUCAAAUGCAUCACUACCAGAUGGACCUGCGUUGUAUUAGCUAGUUGGUGGGGUAACGUCUAACCAAGGCGACGAUACAUAGCCGACCUGAGAGGGUGAUCGGCCACACUGGGACUGAGACACGGCCCAGACUCCUACGGGAGGCAGCAGUAGGGAAUCUUAGGAAAUGGACGGAAGUAUGACAGAGCAACGCAGCGUGAGUGAAGAAGGUUUUCGGAUCGUAAAGCUCUGUUGUAAGAGAAGAACGAGUGUGAGAGUGGAAAGUUCACACUGUGACGGUAUCUUACCAGAAAGGGACGGCUAACUAAGUG